rnacentral:rRNA from 1 species
GAAUUUUGGACAAUGGGGGAAACCCUGAUCCAGCCAUCCCGCGCGUAUGAUGAAGGCCUUCGGGUUGUAAAGUACUUUUGGCAGAGAAGAACAGGUAUCUCCUAAUACGAGAUACUGCUGACGGUAUCUGAAGAAUAAGCCCCGGCUACCUACGUGCAAGCAGCCGCGGUAAUAAGCAGGGUGCAAGCGUUAAUCGGAAUUACGGGGCGUAAAGCGUGUGUAGGCGGUUCGGAAAGAAAGAUGUGAAAUCCCAGGGCUCAACCUUGGAACUGCAUUUUUAACUGCCGAGCUAGAGUAUGUCAGAGGAGGGUAGAAUUCCACGUGUAGCAGUGAAAUGCGUAGAUAUGUGGAGAAAUACCGAUGGCGAAGGCAGCCCCCUGGGAUAAUACUGACGCUCAGACACGAAAGCGUGGGGAGCAAACA